rnacentral:tRNA from 1 species
AGAGAUUUAGGUUAAUCCCAAACCAAGGACCUUCAAAGUCCUAAAUACGAGCAACAAAACUCUUAAUCUCUG